rnacentral:rRNA from 1 species
GUGCCAGCCGCCGCGGUAAUACCGGCAGUCCGAGUGAUGGCCGAUCUUAUUGGGCCUAAAGCGUCCGUAGCUGGCCGCGCAAGUCCAUCGGAAAAUCCACCCGCCCAACGGGUGGGCGUCCGGUGGAAACUGUGUGGCUUGGGACCGGAAGGCGCGACGGGUACGUCCGGGGUAGGAGUGAAAUCCCGUAAUCCUGGACGGACCGCCGAUGGCGAAAGCACGUCGCGAAGACGGAUCCGACAGUGAGGGACGAAAGCUAGGGUCUCGAACCGGAUUAGAUACCCGGGUAGUCC